rnacentral:rRNA from 1 species
UACGGGGGGGGGCAAGCGUUGUUCGGAAUUACUGGGCGUAAAGGGCUCGUAGGCGGCCAACUAAGUCAGACGUGAAAUCCCUCGGCUUAACCGGGGAACUGCGUCUGAUACUGGAUGGCUUGAGGUUGGGAGAGGGAUGCGGAAUUCCAGGUGUAGCGGUGAAAUGCGUAGAUAUCGAGAGGAACACCUGCGGCGAAGGCGGGUUGCUGGGCUGACACUGACGCUGAUUGUGCGAAAGCUAGGGGAGCGAACGGG